UACGUAGGGGGCAAGCGUUGUCCGGAUUUAUUGGGCGUAAAGAGCGUGUAGGCGGCCAAGCAGGUCAGCUGUGAAAACUCGAGGCUCAACCUCGAGACGUCGGUUGAAACCGCUUGGCUAGAGUCCGGAAGAGGAGAGUGGAAUUCCCGGUGUAGCGGUGAAAUGCGCAGAUAUCGGGAAGAACACCCGUGGCGAAGGCGGCUCUCUGGGACGGUACUGACGCUGAGACGCGAAAGCGGGGGGAGCGAACAGG
rnacentral:rRNA from 1 species